rnacentral:rRNA from 1 species
GAUCAUGGCUCAGGAUGAACACUAGCGGCAGGCUUAACACAUGCAAGUCGAGGGGCAGCAUAAUGGAUAGCAAUAUCUAUGGUGACGACCGGCGCACGGGUGCGUAACGCGUAUGCAACCUACCCUUAACAGGGGGAUAACACUGAGAAAUUGGUACUAAUACCCCAUAAUAUCAUAGAAGGCAUCUUUUAUGGUUGAAAAUUCCGAUGGUUAGAGAUGGGCAUGCGUUGUA